rnacentral:rRNA from 1 species
CACGUAGGGCGCAAGCGUUGUCCGGAAUUACUGGGCGUAAAGGGCUCGUAGGCGGCCAACUAAGUCGGAUGUGAAAUCCCCAGGCUCAACCUGGGAACUGCAUCCGAUACUGGAUGGCUUGAAUCCGGGAGAGGGAUGCAGAAUUCCAGGUGUAGCGGUGAAAUGCGUAGAUAUCUGGAGGAAUACCGGUGGCGAAGGCGGCAUCCUGGACCGGCAUUGACGCUGAGGAGCGAAAGCCAGGGGAGCAAACGGG